UAUGCUCUGCUCUGGCUGGUCAAACGGAACCAAGCCCAUCUUCCUUGGAGGUUUGGUCCCCUUCAACCAGCUAUAGCAGUGUUGAAAA
rfam:Mesitornis unicolor contig8365, whole genome shotgun sequence.